UACGUAGGGGGCAAGCGUUUGUCCGGAUUUAUUGGGCGUAAAGAGCGUGUAGGCGGCUAGAUAGGUCCGUUGUGAAAACUCGAGCUCAACCUCGAGACGCCGGUGGAAACCAUCUAGCUAGAGUCCGGAAGAGGAGAGUGGAAUUCCAGGUGUAGCGGUGAAAUGCGUAGAUAUCUGGAGGAACACCGGUGGCGAAGGCGGCAUCCUGGACCAACACUGACGCUGAGGAGCGAAAGCCAGGGGAGCAAACGGG
rnacentral:rRNA from 1 species